GGGGCUGAUCGGUUUCGACAGUCGCUGCUGAUCUGAGUGAAGCGGGCCGAGGAUGCAGAGUUAUCUCGUAAACGCUCUCUGCAAACCAAUAAGUGCCAACUCUAAGCGCACUGACUUCGCCCUCGCUGCCUAAGCGAGCCCGAGUCCGUUAGACCGUGGGCGAUCCCGCCACGGACCCUAACGUCAUUUAGGGAUCUUGCUGUGACACGGGGUCGCGACGUGUCACGGGACUUUUCUGCGGCUGGGCCCGUCGAUCUAUGUGUCUGUGCUAAAGAUCGGGGCCGAGUAGAACGCCUCCAUAGACUGCGCCCGGAGAAACCUUAGUGAACCGGUGCUGGACGCGGGUUCGAUUCCCGCCAGCUCCACGA
rnacentral:tmRNA from 1 species